rnacentral:piRNA from 2 species
UGCAAUCUUGAUGUUCACGCCAGCCUCUGA